AUGGCUCUUCCUAUUUCUGUCUCAACUACUUAUAACCUCAAAGGGUCAAUUUUGACUCUUCUGGAAGCAUCAGAUUCACAACUCUUUGUUGAAGGUUGCCGAUGUUUGGUUAAAUAGUUUGAAGGUUGAAGUUCAUCAUGACUACAACCAUUUUGUCAAGGAUGGUAAGCAGCGGAUAGAAAAAUAGAAAAGCUUCAAGUGAAUCUGCAACUUUUCUAUUUUUCGGUUCACCGCUUACUAUCCUUGACAAAAUAGUUGUGGUCAUGAUCAACCUCAACCUUCAAACUCUUUAACCAAACAUCGGCAGCCUUCAACAAAGAGUUCAUUUCAUGUGAAUCUGACUCUUCCGGAAGAGUCAAAAUUGACCCUUUCAGGUUAUAAGUAGUUAAGCCAAAAAUAGUUAGAGCCAUCUUCAAGGGUUUGUCUUGCAAUUUUGAUUGAUUUUUUUCUUCUUCUGUGAGAUGGGAAGAGAUAUAAAAUCAAGUAGAUGCAAUGAUAACUUAGUUGUGUAUUUAGUAAUGUCAAAAUGAAAGAUAUGAAUAGACAAUUAGAUUGAGUUGAUAGAUUAUUAAAGGUGAGAAAUGCUGCAUUUAAGUUUUUAAGCGUUGAUCCAGGGAUCUCGUAAAUCAGAUACCUAAACACAAGUUCGAUUUGUUAGAAAGACAGAAAAAUUUAAGAAAUAAAUUAUGAUGGCAAAAUAUGUAUGUUUAGAAACCUACCAUGCCACAGAAAACCAACUACAUGGUGAUAUAUCACUGCUCCUAUAGUUUUUUUUUUUUUUUU
rnacentral:lncRNA from 1 species